rnacentral:rRNA from 1 species
GACGAACGCUGGCGGCGUGCUUAACACAUGCAAGUCGAACGGAAAGGCCCUGCGUUUGUGGGGUGCUCGAGUGGCGAACGGGUGAGUAACACGUGAGUAACCUGCCCUUGACUUUGGGAUAACUUCACGAAACUGGGGCUAAUACCGGAUAGAAGCUCCUGCUGCAUAGUGGGGGUUGGAAAGUUUCGGCGGUUGGGGAUGGACUCGCGGCUUAUCAGCUUGUUGGUGGGGUAGUGGCUUACCAAGGCUUUGACGGGUAGCCUGCCUGAGAGGGGGACCGGCGACCAUGGGACUGAGAUACGGACCAGACUCCAACGGGCGGCAGAAGUGGGGAAUAUUGCACAAUGGGGGGAAGUCUGAUGCAGCAACGCCGCGUGCGGGAUGACGGCUUUCGGGUUGUAAACAGAUUUCGCCUGUGACGAAGCGUGAGUGACGGUAAUGGGUAAAGAAGCACCGGCUAACUACGUG